GUGUCCCCAGGGCACUUUGUUCUGUGGAGCGGGUAUGGGGCGGGAGGUUGGGACGAGUUGGGAACACCGCAGGUUUCGUGGUGGUGAAGUCUGCAGUGGGAGCAGAGCUCCUGAAGGAGUUGCUUCAGUGGCCUGGGACUGCUGGGAAGGUCCUCUAUAGUGGCCGAGGAAAGCAGGGAAGGGGAGAAGAGCCCCACUAAGAGUAACAGAAGUGAUCUCCAUGUUGUGAUGAAGGACUGUAAUUCAUCUCCUCCAUGCAUUUAUAAGUUGCUCAUUUCUUCAACGUUAUUUUUUGUCUAAUCAAUGCAGUGAAAAGCAGAGCUCUGAAACAUUGACUGUAUCUGUUGUGGAAACAGUGAUUCAAGGGCAGCAAAGGGAAAACUGGACAUCACUGAAGAAGACAGAUGAGAUAUUUAGGUCUGGAAUAAAAAAUGCAUGUUUUGGAUAUAACAGUAAUGCUUUCACCAACUCUUUCCCCUCCCUCAUGAAUUUAGGCAAGUCAAUGACGUCUAUGCUUGCUUAAUUAUAAAGCUUCAUUAUUUCCUAUACCACGAAGUCUGCUUUUUGUUUUUAUAGAGGCUUGGCAUAAUCUUUUUUUAUAAAUGCCAAGAACAAUUCCAGUUAGCUUGUGGGUAAUAGUGAUCAAUUGUAGCAGAAAGAAGUCUGAAGUCACAUAGCUUUGACUUGUGCAUAGCUCUGCUGAGUCGUCUGAUGCCUCUUUCCUGAUGAGCAACAAUCUACCAAACUGUCUCUAACUGACCAUGAGGAGAACAUCCAAUUAUCCUGCACCAUCAGAGGUAUGAUGUAUGCGUGUGUAUAUAUAAACCACAUUUUGUAGUCUGGAGACACAGAGGGCAUAUAUCAUCAGACUAUUUUUUACCCUUUUCAGUACUGGCUGGCAUUUUCUGAAUGGAAAGUUUAAAAUGCACAUUCUUCCAAGCAGGACAACC
ensembl:lncRNA